UGUAGGGAAUCUGGGAAAAUUUACAUACACGUAUAAAAAUAAACUUCACUCCGAAUCGUUUUUCGUUAGCAGUGAUUUAUCGUUGCGUACAAAUAUAUAUUAAAUUCCCUACUAUACCCUACCCUCUCAACUUUUCACCUAAAAUCAGUGGUCCGCCCGCCGUGCGGAGUAUGUCCGAUUAUUCUCUUUCUUAUUAUUCGUUCGUCGGUCUCAGUAAACAGUUACAAUUCCACAAAUUGCUCACAGAAUCGUUUUUCUUUUUGAUCACGAGGCGUUAAUUUUAUGUACGGUUUUUUUUCUCCAAGUUUCUGCACUAUUUAGUUUACACUAUUUCUGCUUUAUUUAGCCAUAUAGGUAACAAUGGGCCGUAUCGUACGUUACACGCUACAAUAAGAUUUAUAUUAAUAAAAUUAUCGUUUUUUUUUUUUCGAGAACUCCGAAUACAGUGCAGCAUGCACAAAACAAGAUAAUAAUGAUAACGGUAGAUUGUGUACGAUGUGAAUGUGUUCAAAGGCAUAUAUUAGUUUGGAAUACUUAAAUAACGAGUGACACUAGUAUAAUGUAUGCGUGAUGUAGCAAUAUUAUAGGUGGAUUUCGCGAAACAAUAAAAUUAACAAUU